UCCCCAUAUUUCAGCUUAUAAUAGCCAGUGUUACAGUCGUGUACCUGGUAUUGGAAACAAAAGAAGAGGAAGAUGAGAAACAGCAGAUGCAGUAGCAGCACAACAACAACAGCAAACAACAAUAGCCCAAUAACAUAUUAAAACCAGCAAAGUCCCGGCAAUAACCAAUGGAACAGUAACGGGAAAACCCACAACAAACUCAGAAAUGCAAUGAAACAGUACUUUCUGACUCUCUAUUCUUUAACUCUCAAAGAAGAGCACUUUCAAGAAACCCUACUCUUUUAACUGAUUUUCAGCAAUCAAAGCAGACUAUACUUUCUUACUCUCAAACUCAACUGACCUCCUCAACACUAAAGUCAGCCUAUUUUAUAUAUUUAUAAUUCUGAAUUUUUGAUCUCCCAAAAAAUUUUCCUCCCUCAUCAGUCCAAAUGCCCUCCCUUUUAUAACUAUUACAGACCUGCCCACUCUUUAAUAACUUAACUACCCGACCCCCCAGCAAACAAAAAUCUGCAUAUUUCCACUUAAAACUCACUAAGGAAUGCUUUUCCAUAUUUUCAGCCCCAAUUCCCUCUCGUUCCUCAUUAACUUAUUAAUUUAAAGACAUUUAAUACCCCACUAACAAGACACUAACAUUAAAAUAUUAUCCUAACUGUUCCAUUCCCAAAUCACCCCUGAAACCCCUUAAUAUUAUUGCCUUAACACAAUCUAUUAAAACCUUUAACUCUAAAAUCUGUUCAAGCUAACAAUUAUCUAAAACUAACUCUGAUUAACAACUAUAACCAAUCUUCCUGACAACUGAAUGACUAAGGUCGAAUUCCAAUUGAAACAAAGGGACUGAAUUUGAAUCAAAAUCAUAUUAACAUCACACAGAACCCAACAGCAUUAUUGAAGCUGAAACUUGAUAUGGGGAUUAAGCUAACACAAUUCUAAGUUAAACCUAUCCAAAAUGCCGGAUCACUGUCACUAUAAUGACACUGAGCCCUAAAGCUAAGUGUCUACAGAUCAACAUACACAACACGCGACAUUAAACCAUUUGACGAACUUAAUGGUCUACAAACAAGAACGAAUUAAUCGACGAAACUAUUUAUAACCUAUGUUAUUAAUCGACAGAACAUAAACUGAUGGAUACGAGAGAAAAUAACGGACAAAAGACGAAUUACAAUGAACCUAAUUUAGGCAAACGAAGAAUUGAUUAAACUACUCAAACAAACAUUAGAAUAUUUAAUCUAACCAGAAUCAGAAAAAGAAGCAGAAUAUAUACUGGAUUAACUUAAACUGAAAACCUAAAGAAGCGACUAAUUACACAGACAAACAAACACAUAGAAAAAAGGAAAAGAAGAAGCUAAGAAGAACUCACUGUUCUUUUCUCGGAUUUCACCCAUAUGCCCUUUCGAACUUGAGUUCCAGUUAGUAUUAUACGUUUAUUUCAUCAGAAAUAGGCUUAUAAUACUAACCAGAACCCGUUCGACCCUGACAUCUUCGAAACAGUCUCGAACUGUCGAACCCUAGAUCCGCCAUUUGAUGAGUUUUACUCGGAUUCGAGCCCAUCUGGUUAGGGAUUAGCUACGAGGAGGUAAAGAGGAUUAUUGGGUGUCAUUUUGGAGUUAAGUGGACAAGGUAGGGUUUGGGACAGGGUCUUCGAUCGAAGAUUCAAGAAUCUGUAGUAUGAUUCGAGGUUAAUGGAGUAUGGAAUCGUGUUGAGGGUGGUUAGGAGGUUCAGGGGUGUUAUUUUCACGUCCAUCGAAGCCGGCGCCGCCGGGUUUACGGUGAAGGGAUGGGGUGGCGGCUAUAAGGGUUCCUAGUCUCUGAAAGACGAUGAUGAACAGGGG
rnacentral:lncRNA from 1 species